UACGGGCUUAAGCCAGCCGGCCCAAAAAACGUCCCAGUUUGCGAAGUUGCCAGAUCGCGAAAUCCUAAUGUCUCGCUUCUCAGCGGAGGGCGAUGCUCUGCAGGGCCUUAUGGGACUGAAACGGUUUUUGUUGGAUAUCAAAUCCACAAAAGGCGUGUUAACUUGUAGCCCCUCAAAAAAAUGAUCUUUCUGCCAAUGCGGUUCUUUCAAGGCAGUAAGAUGAUUUUUCCGACAUGUCACAUUUACGUUAUGAUUUUUCAAAAAAAUUACUUUGGGGGGAACCAAUAGCGAUUAGCCUGCCCUCACGUGACGUCUGUGUUACACGACUCGUUGAGUUGGGCAAGGUUGGGCAGUCGUGUGUGUUAAGAGCGUCUCAAAAGUUGGCUAAACAGCAGUUCGACCUUUUUUAGAGUUUAUUUUGAUGUACAAUUAAGACUAGCAACGUGGCAGCCUUGAGUUUUAGCAGACUACGAAGUCUCGGCUGUGAGCUGUCAGAAACAGUGACAAAACAGUGUCGACUGUCGAGUCCAGAUUUGUAAUGCGAUCAAAUUCGGACUUUUCUCAUAUAUUUUGGAUUUGGUUUACAUUACACCCAAUAUAAUAGAAAAUGACCAAAACUUGUUUUGUUUUGUCAUUGUCAUAUUUGAAUUGCUAUUGCACACCCCAAACCAACCAUAACAUGUGGGUAAAUAGGUUCUACCUUUUCAAUGGCAUGAUUGGAUUUAACAACUAGUAUGUCAUGUACUUUAGGGUGAAAUUGAACCACUGGGGGAGAAAUCAUCUUUAUGGAAUAUUGCUAAAUAAGUUAGGUACAAUAAUAAAAAUGAUUAUAUCAGCAAAUGAUGCAUCAAACAUAAAAUUAAUUUUUACCAUUGAAAGUGCCUCUUCAAUUUCAUCUCUAAGAAUUUCUUUGCUUGUAGUUACAGUGUUUACUCGAAUGAUUGUGAAGUGUGAAGCAGUCUUUAAAUGUUUCACUAACAUUUCUUUUAAAAUGGGUUUUUCAUGUUCAUUCUUCAAUUCAGACAUACACAAUAUAAAUUCCAUGCUAAUUAA